AACGCACAUUGCGCCCCCCGGCAUUCCGGGGGGCACGCCUGUCCGAGCGCCAUUGGAAACCUCGAGCCCCGCGCUCGCAGUUGGGGACGCCCGCGAGGGCCCCCCGAAACCCAUGGGCGGCCGCGCCGACCCCCCGCCGCAACGAGCUUCACCGCCCGCGGAGGGGGGCCGGGCCGUGGCCGCCGGAACCCGAACGGAAGGCCUCGGAUCAGGCGGGGUUACCCGCUGAACUUAA
rnacentral:misc_RNA from 1 species